AAACUUUCAACAACGGAUCUCUUGGUUCACCGCAUCGAUGAAGAACGCAGCGAAAUGCGAUAAGUAAUGUGAAUUGCAGAAUUCAGUGAAUCAUCGAAUCUUUGAACGCACAUUGCGCCCCUUGGUAUUCCGAGGGGCAUGCCUGUUCGAGCGUCAUU
rnacentral:rRNA from 2 species